rnacentral:rRNA from 1 species
GAACGCUGGCGGCAGGCUUAACACAUGCAAGUCGAACGCCCCGCAAGGGGAGUGGCAGACGGGUGAGUAACGCGUGGGAACAUACCCUUUCCUGCGGAAUAGCUCCGGGAAACUGGAAUUAAUACCGCAUACGCCCUACGGGGGAAAGAUUUAUCGGGGAAGGAUUGGCCCGCGUUGGAUUAGCUAGUUGGUGGGGUAAAGGCCUACCAAGGCGACGAUCCAUAGCUGGUCUGAGAGGAUGAUCAGCCACAUUGGGACUGAGACACGGCCCAAACUCCUACGGGAGGCAGCAGUGGGGAAUAUUGGACAAUGGGCGCAAGCCUGAUCCAGCCAUGCCGCGUGAGUGAUGAAGGCCUUAGGGUUGUAAAGCUCUUUCACCGGAGAAGAUAAUGACGGUAUCCGGAGAAGAAGCCCCGGCUAACUUCGUGCCAGCAG